ACGGAAGGCAGCAGUGGGGAAUAUUGGGCAAUGGGCGCAAGCCUGACCCAGCAACGCCGCGUGAAGGAAGAAGGUUUUCGGAUUGUAAACUUCUGUCCUUGGUGAAGAAGAAAGUGACGGUAGCCAAGGAGGAAGCCACGGCUAACUACGUGCCAGCAGCCGCGAUAAUACGUAGGUGGCAAGCGUUAUCCGGAUUUACUGGGUGUAAAGGGAGCGCAGGCGGGACAGCAAGUUGGAUGUGAAAUACCGAGGCUUAACCACGGAGCUGCAUCCAAAACUGUUGUUCUUGAGUGAAGUAGAGGUAGGCGGAAUUCCGAGUGUAGCGGUGAAAUGCGUAGAUAUUCGGAGGAACGCCAGUGGCGAAGGCGGCCUACUGGGCUUUAACUGACGCUGAGGCUCGAAAGUGUGGGGAGCAAACAGGAUUAGAUACCCUGGUA
rnacentral:rRNA from 1 species